rnacentral:rRNA from 1 species
AGCGAACGCUGGCGGCAGGCCUAACACAUGCAAGUCGAGCGGCCGUAGCAAUACGGCAGCGGCAGACGGGAUAGUAACACGUGGGAACGUACCCUUCAGUUCGGAACAACCCAGGGAAACUUGGGCUAAUACCGAAUACGUCCGUAAGGAGAAAGAUUUAUCGCUGAAGGAUCGGCCCGCGUCUGAUUAGCUAGUUGGUGGGGUAAUGGCCCACCAAGGCGACGAUCAGUAGCUGGUCGAGAGGAUGAUCAGCAUCACUGGGACUGAGACACGGCCCAGACUCCUACGGGAGGCAGCAGUGGGGAAUAUUGGACAAUGGGCGCAAGCCUGAUCCAGCAAUGCCGCGUGUGUGAAGAAGGUCUUC